UGUUCAUUGUCAUGGCGUUUGUAUGACUUAAUUGCUUUUUGUGAUUCAUAUAUUUUUAUCUGAUUCUGAUGCUCAUGAUUCAUGAUGAUUUGUUUUUCUUGGAAAAUUUUCAAUUCAAUAACAGAAGGAAGAGAUCCACUUUUCUGGAUUGUAAGUGUCAUGAAUGUUGUUCAUCAGCCGUAAUGAAGGAGGAGUGUCAACACACACUUAAAUAAAAGCUGCGAGCAGGUGCUUCAGUGCCAAACAUUCACCAGAACAAACACCAGACGGUCUGUCAGAGCACCUAAACUUCACCGACACACAGCCUACUUGUAGAAAUGUCUGGAGGGCCCACUGCCAGAGCUCCUGCAGCUGAGACCCCGUCGGCAUCAGACAUGCUUCUGACGGUUCAUUCCGUCGACCUCCUGGAAUCCAAGGAUGGGCCGAACCGACGCGAGCAUCACACAGACGCUUACUUCAGCGACAACCUGAUCAUCCGCAGAGGACAGACCUUCCAGAUGUGGAUCGAGUU